rnacentral:rRNA from 1 species
UACAGACGGUCCAAACGUUAUUCGGAAUCACUGGGCUUAAAGAGUUCGUAGGCGGUCAGGAAAGUGGGGUGUGAAAGCCCUCGGCUUAACCGAGGAAUUGCGCUCCAAACUCCCUGACUUGAGGAGGCUAGAGGUAAGCGGAACUGAUGGUGGAGCGGUGAAAUGCGUUGAUAUCAUCAGGAACACCGGAGGCGAAGGCGGCUUACUGGGGCCUUUCUGACGCUG